GGUUAAGCGACUAAGCGUACACGGUGGAUGCCCUGGCAGUCAGAGGCGAUGAAGGACGUGCUAAUCUGCGAUAAGCGUCGGUAAGGUGAUAUGAACCGUUAUAACCGGCGAUUUCCGAAUGGGGAAACCCAGUGUGAUUCGUCACACUAUCAUUAACUGAAUCCAUAGGUUAAUGAGGCGAACCGGGGGAACUGAAACAUCUAAGUACCCCGAGGAAAAGAAAUCAACCGAGAUUCCCCCAGUAGCGGCGAGCGAACGGGGAGCAGCCCAGAGCCUGAAUCAGUGUGUGUGUUAGUGGAAGCGUCUGGAAAGGCGCGCGAUACAGGGUGACAGCCCCGUACACAAAAAUGCACAUGCUGUGAGCUCGAUGAGUAGGGCGGGACACGUGGUAUCCUGUCUGAAUAUGGGGGGACCAUCCUCCAAGGCUAAAUACUCCUGACUGACCGAUAGUGAACCAGUACCGUGAGGGAAAGGCGAAAAGAACCCCGGCGAGGGGAGUGAAAAAGAACCUGAAACCGUGUACGUACAAGCAGUGGGAGCACGCUUAGGCGUGUGACUGCGUACCUUUUGUAUAAUGGGUCAGCGACUUAUAUUCUGUAGCAAGGUUAACCGAAUAGGGGAGCCGAAGGGAAACCGAGUCUUAACUGGGCGUUAAGUUGCAGGGUAUAGACCCGAAACCCGGUGAUCUAGCCAUGGGCAGGUUGAAGGUUGGGUAACACUAACUGGAGGACCGAACCGACUAAUGUUGAAAAAUUAGCGGAUGACUUGUGGCUGGGGGUGAAAGGCCAAUCAAACCGGGAGAUAGCUGGUUCUCCCCGAAAGCUAUUUAGGUAGCGCCUCGUGAAUUCAUCUCCGGGGGUAGAGCACUGUUUCGGCAAGGGGGUCAUCCCGACUUACCAAUCCGAUGCAAACUGCGAAUACCGGAGAAUGUUAUCACGGGAGACACACGGCGGGUGCUAACGUCCGUCGUGAAGAGGGAAACAACCCAGACCGCCAGCUAAGGUCCCAAAGUCAUGGUUAAGUGGGAAACGAUGUGGGAAGGCCCAGACAGCCAGGAUGUUGGCUUAGAAGCAGCCAUCAUUUAAAGAAAGCGUAAUAGCUCACUGGUCGAGUCGGCCUGCGCGGAAGAUGUAACGGGGCUAAACCAUGCACCGAAGCUGCGGCAGCGACGCUUAUGCGUUGUUGGGUAGGGGAGCGUUCUGUAAGCCUGUGAAGGUGUGCUGUGAGGCAUGCUGGAGGUAUCAGAAGUGCGAAUGCUGACAUAAGUAACGAUAAAGCGGGUGAAAAGCCCGCUCGCCGGAAGACCAAGGGUUCCUGUCCAACGUUAAUCGGGGCAGGGUGAGUCGACCCCUAAGGCGAGGCCGAAAGGCGUAGUCGAUGGGAAACAGGUUAAUAUUCCUGUACUUGGUGUUACUGCGAAGGGGGGACGGAGAAGGCUAUGUUGGCCGGGCGACGGUUGUCCCGGUUUAAGCGUGUAGGCUGGUUUUCCAGGCAAAUCCGGAAAAUCAAGGCUGAGGCGUGAUGACGAGGCACUACGGUGCUGAAGCAACAAAUGCCCUGCUUCCAGGAAAAGCCUCUAAGCAUCAGGUAACAUCAAAUCGUACCCCAAACCGACACAGGUGGUCAGGUAGAGAAUACCAAGGCGCUUGAGAGAACUCGGGUGAAGGAACUAGGCAAAAUGGUGCCGUAACUUCGGGAGAAGGCACGCUGAUAUGUAGGUGAAGCGACUUGCUCGUGGAGCUGAAAUCAGUCGAAGAUACCAGCUGGCUGCAACUGUUUAUUAAAAACACAGCACUGUGCAAACACGAAAGUGGACGUAUACGGUGUGACGCCUGCCCGGUGCCGGAAGGUUAAUUGAUGGGGUUAGCGCAAGCGAAGCUCUUGAUCGAAGCCCCGGUAAACGGCGGCCGUAACUAUAACGGUCCUAAGGUAGCGAAAUUCCUUGUCGGGUAAGUUCCGACCUGCACGAAUGGCGUAAUGAUGGCCAGGCUGUCUCCACCCGAGACUCAGUGAAAUUGAACUCGCUGUGAAGAUGCAGUGUACCCGCGGCAAGACGGAAAGACCCCGUGAACCUUUACUAUAGCUUGACACUGAACAUUGAGCCUUGAUGUGUAGGAUAGGUGGGAGGCUUUGAAGUGUGGACGCCAGUCUGCAUGGAGCCGACCUUGAAAUACCACCCUUUAAUGUUUGAUGUUCUAACGUGGACCCGUAAUCCGGGUUGCGGACAGUGUCUGGUGGGUAGUUUGACUGGGGCGGUCUCCUCCUAAAGAGUAACGGAGGAGCACGAAGGUUGGCUAAUCCUGGUCGGACAUCAGGAGGUUAGUGCAAUGGCAUAAGCCAGCUUGACUGCGAGCGUGACGGCGCGAGCAGGUGCGAAAGCAGGUCAUAGUGAUCCGGUGGUUCUGAAUGGAAGGGCCAUCGCUCAACGGAUAAAAGGUACUCCGGGGAUAACAGGCUGAUACCGCCCAAGAGUUCAUAUCGACGGCGGUGUUUGGCACCUCGAUGUCGGCUCAUCACAUCCUGGGGCUGAAGUAGGUCCCAAGGGUAUGGCUGUUCGCCAUUUAAAGUGGUACGCGAGCUGGGUUUAGAACGUCGUGAGACAGUUCGGUCCCUAUCUGCCGUGGGCGCUGGAGAACUGAGGGGGGCUGCUCCUAGUACGAGAGGACCGGAGUGGACGCAUCACUGGUGUUCGGGUUGUCAUGCCAAUGGCACUGCCCGGUAGCUAAAUGCGGAAGAGAUAAGUGCUGAAAGCAUCUAAGCACGAAACUUGCCCCGAGAUGAGUUCUCCCUGACUCCUUGAGAGUCCUGAAGGAACGUUGAAGACGACGACGUUGAUAGGCCGGGUGUGUAAGCGCAGCGAUGCGUUGAGCUAACCGGUACUAAUGAACCGUGAGGCUUAACCUUAC
rnacentral:rRNA from 1 species